GGAGUUCUCCGGACGAUCGUCGGCGGCUUCGCGCCGCGGGAGGAAAGUCCGGACUCCGCAGGGCACCGUAGCAGGCAACACCUGUCCACCGUGAGGUGCGGAUCAGAGCAACAGAGACGAGCCGACUUCGGGUCGGGUGAAACGGGCAAUCUCUACGGGGAGCAACAUCAAAUAGGCCGUCACAUGGGACCUGCCCGGUCCUGACGGCGGGUAGAUGGCUUGAGGCGCGGCGCGAGCCGCGUCCUGGAAGAAUGAUCGUCACCGCGGGCUUGUCCCGCGGAACAGAAUCCGGCUUACAGGGGAGGUCCCGCC
rfam:Sutterella parvirubra YIT 11816 genomic scaffold Scfld211, whole genome shotgun sequence.